rnacentral:rRNA from 1 species
GAUGAACGCUGGCGGCGUGCCUAAUACAUGCAAGUCGAGCGAACAGACGAGGAGCUUGCUCCUCUGACGUUAGCGGCGGACGGGUGAGUAACACGUGGAUAACCUACCUAUAAGACUGGGAUAACUUCGGGAAACCGGAGCUAAUACCGGAUAAUAUAUUGAACCGCAUGGUUCAAUAGUGAAAGACGGUUUUGCUGUCACUUAUAGAUGGAUCCGCGCCGCAUUAGCUAGUUGGUAAGGUAACGGCUUACCAAGGCAACGAUGCGUAGCCGACCUGAGAGGGUGAUCGGCCACACUGGAACUGAGACACGGUCCAGACUCCUCCGGGAGGCAGCAGUAGGGAAUCUUCCGCAAUGGGCGAAGGCCUGACGGAGCAACGCCGCGUGAGUGAUGAAGGUCUUCGGAUCGUAAAACUCUGUUAUUAGGGAAGAACAAAUGUGUAAGUAACUAUGCACGUCUUGACGGUACCUAAUCAGAAAGCCACGGCUAACUACGUG